UUUUUGAGGUUAUUCAUAUUUUUGUUUGUAAAUUUCGUUUUUAUUGAACUUUAAAUAUGUCUUGUGCUUUGUACUGUGAAAGGAAGCGCAAAUUGCAGAAGAUGUCCAAUACAAAACAUUUCUAAAUAUUUAGCUUUCCUAGAAAUGAAACUUUACUGGACAAGGACAAGGUUCUUUCUAUCGAAAAAGAAAAUUGGGUAUGGACAAAAAAUAACGUAAUUUGCUCUGAACACUUUAAAGCGGAUGAUUUUCUCCCCUUUUGUGGAAGAAAAAUAGUACGACCCAACUCUGCACCUUCCAUAAAAUUAUUUUGUGGUGUAUCUUCUUCCAUUUUAAGCAAGAGUACUUUAUCGAGUUCAAUUAAUACAGGAGCUUUGACCAAAUUGAUGUUACAAUCAAGUGAAUCAUCUUUGACCUAUAACGUUACUGAAGUUCGAGUAGGUACAACGUAAAAAGAAGAGACAACUGAAUUUAAGUGUUCAGAAUACAUCGAAU